rnacentral:ncRNA from 1 species
GAGAGAUUUUAUUCUUGUUUACUUAUUAAUUUUAGUAUUAUUUUAUAUGUAAAUUUUUGUAUUUUAUUAGUUUUCUUAAUGGGUUUAAUUUAGAUUUGAUUUUGCAGUAUAUAAUAUUGAAUAUUUAGGUAACUUUGAUUUAGUUAUUAUUAUUUAAUAUUGAUUAAUAAUGUGCCAGCAUUCGCGGUUAUACAUUGUAUAUAAAUUAAUAUUUUUAGUUAAAAUGAUUAUUUUGUUUGGUUGUUUUAUUUUGUUUAUUUUUAGGUGAAAUUUUAUUAUUUGUUAUAAGUGUAAGUUUGUUGUUAAUAAGUCAUGUAAUCUAUGAAUAUAUAAACUAGGAUUAGAUACCCUAUUAUAUUUGAUGUAAAAUUAUUUAUUAGACUUGAGUAGUAACAUAUUUUUGAAACUUAAAGAAUUUGGCGGUAUUUUAGUCUUUUUAGAGGAAUCUGUUUCGUAAUCGAUAAUCCGCGUUGAACCUUACUUAUUAAUAAUUUAAUUUGUAUAUCGCCGUUUAUUGAAUAUUUUUUAUAAAAUUUUAAUUUUCUUUUUGUUUAUAUAAGAAAAUAUUUCAGGUCAAGGUGCAGUUUAUAUAUAAGUGAUAAUGGAUUACAAUAUUAUUUUAAUAUUAUGGAUUAUAUAUUGUAUAUUUUAUAUGAAGGUGGAUUUAAAAGUAAUUUUUUAUAUAUUAUUUAGAUGAAAUUAGCUCUAAAAUGUGUACAUAUUGCCCGUCACUCUCAUUAAUAUUUUAAGUGAGAUAAGUCGUAACAUAGUAGAUGUACUGGAAAGUGUAUCUAGAAAUUUA